UCAUUAAAUGGGUGGAGGAUGAAAAAUUCCCAAUGCUGCCCACUGAACAUAUUAGAAAAUUUUAUGAGGAUGAAUACACAGCGGGAAUGGACGAAAAUUACGUUUACUUGGUGGAGUUGCGCCAAGGCGUCGAAGAGCCGAAAGGGGGGUGGGUGGCCGUCCUAUGAGGCCUCCAUCAUCAAGAUAGCAGAUAACAUCAGUUAAUAGGUAGUAGGCCUAUGUAGCGUUAUUCUACCUCCUCAGAAAGGGAAAGAACUUUACAAAUGAAACUUAAGGAAACUGAAGAACAGCUACCCAAGUCAGACACUGAAGAGAAAGAGUAAACCUUCAAUGAAUCUCAUAGAGGCCGCAGAGAUGAGAGAGGAACCAGCAGCUAAGAAAAAGGUACACCUCACAGACCUACCAAAUGAUCUAAAGGUAUGGAAUGAAAGAAAAAUUCUACAGCUUGUGAUAAAUCAGAGAAGAGAACACGAAUCUAAAUAAAGAGAAUGAGAG